AACACAUGCAAGUCGAACGAAGGCUUCGGCCUUAGUGGCGCACGGGUGCGUAACGCGUGGGAAUCUGCCCUUAGGUUCGGAAUAACAGCUGGAAACGCCUGCUAAUACCGGAUGAUAUCGCGAGAUCAAAGAUUUAUCGCCUGAGGAUGAGCCCGUGUUGGAUUAGGUAGUUGGUGGGGUAAAGGCCUACCAAGCCGACGAUCCAUAGCUGGUCUAGAGGAUGAUCAGCCACACUGGGACUGAGACACGGCCCAGACUCCUACGGAG
rnacentral:rRNA from 1 species